rnacentral:rRNA from 1 species
GACGUAGGGCGCGAGCGUUGUCCGGAUUUAUUGGGCGUAAAGAGCUCGUAGGCGGCUUGUCGCGUCGACUGUGAAAACCCGCGGCUUAACUGCGGGACUGCAGUCGAUACGGGCAGGCUAGAGUUCGGUAGGGGAGACUGGAAUUCCUGGUGUAGCGGUGAAAUGCGCAGAUAUCGGGGGGAACACCAAUGGCGAAGGCAGCUCGCUGGGACGGUACUGACGCUGAGACGCGAAAGCGUGGGGAGCAAACAGG